AUAUGUUCAGUAUUUUCAACCAAAACCCAUGUCUCCAUGGGCUAAAGGACAAAAUAAUUUAGAUUAGAUUAGGUUAAAGACAGGAAAGAAAGAAAAAAGAAAAAAAAUUAAUAGUAUUGAAAUCUCCUAUGACAGUUUUAUACCUGAUAGGUACCUCUCAACAGGAUACUUAUACUGGUCAUUAUGGAAAAUUGUUGUCCUUUCUGUUAUUUCACCUAGCAUGUUGCUUGAAUGCCAAUUCUUAUUUAUAUUAAAUAGGGAAAAGAUGUCAAAGAAAACACCAGGUUAUGUCUAAAACAGAACUACUUCAGAGCCUGAUGAAAUGGUUUAAUCGAAAUAAUCACUUCAGAUUAUUCAGCAUUUACAAACACAUUCUUCGGAUUUUAUUACAAGCAUAAAAAUAAUCCAUUGUGUCAUAGUUUGGGUUCUUUCUGUGUGAGGAAACCUAGUACCCCAACCCUGUCUUCCCACUUCCCUGUUUUUCUGUUAUGCUCCAUCGCCAUCUAUCAUAUUGUGUGUUUUACUUAUUUAUCUGGUUGUCUUUCCCUCCCAAUUAAAACGCAAGUUUCAUGAAGGCAGAGCAUAGUAGUAGGUGCGCAAGAAAUAACAGUUGAAUGAAUGAAUACAGGUUUUGCAACAGACUGCCAGGAUUUGAAGCCUAGCUUCCAAGCUUCCUAACUGUGUGACUUGGAGCACAUUACGUAACCUCUCCACCUCAACAUCCUCUUUCUUAGGUGGAAAUAAUUAGAGCAUCAAUGUCACCAAGUCAUUGAGAGGAUUCAAAUAUGUAACCUAUCUGCCAGAGUUUAACUGAUGUUAAGUAUUUUUCACAAAAACAACUCUUGAAUGGGUUAAGGGCAAAUAACCAAACAUUUACCAUUACCUAUUAAAAUUAUUUGUUAUUGCUUUUUGAUUUUUGAGUGAGUCUGCCCUUCCCCCAACCCCCCUCUGUACUAGAAUGGGAAGCCUAACUGUUCAGAGACACAUCACAAGCUGCUUGUUCUUUCCUUCUUUUUUCUCAUCUGUUUCAUGAGUUCUCCAUUUUCAUGGCGUUCUCUACCUUCGCAGUCCUGCUUCUGGAAUGUUGAACGUCUCGCCUGGCUUUUCUCCUAACCAGGCACUGCUUUACUUCCUGUCUACAGAGACUGCUGCCAUUCAGAGGGUGCCACCACCCACCUGGGGAGAGGGGUUCUUCCUUUGUGUGGCUGUGCAAUACCAAACAGUAGAUACCUGCCAAUAUGCAGGUGUUUUUACUGACUUUUUACCAUGAUUAAUCCAUACACCUCUAGCCUAGGCAGUUAAAGAUAUUUGACUAAGUCUAGUAUAUUAUAGAAAUAGUUUAAUUUUUAUAUUAUGCUUAUUAGUUUGUUAACAAAAUCACCUCUGUAGGUUGUACACCCCUCCAGGGUUUGGGCACUUUCAUCUCUAUUACCAUAGAGCAGUUUUCACAGAUAGUGGACAUGCAAAUAUUUGUAAGCUGAAAUAAAAGUGCAGACAGUACAAGGAUCCACAGUCAUCUCGCAUGCCAAAUGAGCUACCAAAAGCAUAUGAAGUUUUAACUUUUUAAUAUCUUUGCAUUUGUUCUCCCUGAUAGUGUUUAAAUUUAAAAAGAGUAGCAAUUAGUAAACUUGUUCUAUCAGCAUAUCUUAUGUCAAUGUAAGAUAUGCAUUUAAAUGUAGGUGGCUUUUUGUACCAAUUUCCUCACUGUGAUAUUGAGUGUCUAGAAAAGGCUAUGCUGCAGCAUCUUUGAUAGCAUUUAUAAAUUCUUUCCUAAUAGUUUACACAUUUGUGUGUGAUUUUGUGUAAUUUGCAAAUAAAGCAGUAGUGCUACUGAAUUAACUACAAAAUUGAAAUUGCUAAAAUAAUAGGAAGCAAUCGAGGUGGCUAGUUUCAUCUCAUCAUUUUGUAUCCUUGCUUGGGUUGCUAAGGCACAGCUCACACAUUUAGUGUGCUUCCACAAUUCUUUGCCAUUCUAGAGCAUGUACUUCUGACAUUUUGAUUAGGCUUUUGUGUUUGGUCACUGUAUUAAAUCGAGCAAUUUAUUCCUUUCCACUUAAAUUGUCUUCCCUGUACAAGGGAUGGAGAGGAAUUCACAGCGCCUGCACAUAAAAGGCCAUUAUCUUAUCUUAGCAAAUCCAGCCCUAUAGAGACCGUGCAUCAUGACAGCUCAGCUGGGAAGCUGGGAAGGGAAGUGUAUCAAGGAGGGUGAGAUACUGAGUGUGAGUCAUUGAUGAAGCCUAUGACUGGGGUGGUGGUGAGUCCAUCAGCAGCAGCAAAGGUUAGCACCCCUCUGCAAUCAGACAGACUGAAGUUUGCACCCGGGGAGUGCGCUCUGCCUAUAGUGUUUGAUUUAGUUGUAGCUUGUACAAACAACUCAGGAGACCAUAUUACACUGUUAUUCUUCUUGCCCCAAAUCAAAGCACCUUUUUUUCUUUUUCUUUUUUCCACAGGAUAAACACUGAUAUUUUGUGUGUAUGGCCAGAGGCAGGCUGUAGAACAAGUCUGUAGAAACUUUGGUGCUUUACUCUAAUACAGCCUUCACUCCACAAAGAAAUAUUUUCUGAUUGAAGGAAGUGGUGGUGAUGAGGGUGGAAAUGUCGAGGUCAGCUGUGUCACUCUCAUGGAUUCAGCACAUGACCCAGGAGCUCUUCUCAGAGGUUUAUUCGUAUUAAUAGAUACUCACUGGAUCUUCAGCAAUAUGAAGGGGAUCCAAAUUACAGAUGGGAAAACUGAGACCCAAAGAGAUCAUGUAAUUUGCCCAAGUGGCAGGCUGGCAUUUGAUUACAGUGCAGUGCUCGUUACCACAUGUUUUGACUGGACAGGGGUCAAGAGUUUCCUUUAAUUAGGUAAAAAUGCUACAAAAGCCAUGAUCCUUAUAAUCUCUUUAAAAUCUUCACGGUGUUUGAUGCAUUGUUAACUCUUCAUAGAUGCUUAUAGAGAGCUGUUUUCCUCUGUCUUCCACUGGUUGCAUCAGUAAUCCAAACCUGAAGCUUCCUGUCUCCUUGACUCAUUUCCUCUUCCUUUAUCCAUACUUUCAAGUUCUGUUGAUUCUAGCUCCUGACAACCACACCCAUCCAUCCUCUCCUUUCCCUGUCUUUAGUUUUCUUCCUAACUAGGGUCCCCUGCUCCAGGAUUUCUUCAUCCAGAGGUAUCUUCUUAAAGUACAGCUUGGAUUAUGUCCUUUCCCCAGUCAAAAAUCAUUUAGUCUAUAAGCAUAGCAGUUUAGAUUUAGCAAAACAUUUUCCCAUGACAGUCACAGGAACUCAGAUAAAUACAUAUCAUUGCUUCCAUUGUAUAGAUGAAAUAACUGUAACCUACAGUGGUUAACUGAAUUACUAGCCCACUGUAAUAAGGCUGGUAAAUAAUAGAACAGUUACUUUUCUCUAAACCUUUACUAACACCAGGGUCUGUAGUCUAAACUCCUACCUUGGCUUUCAAGUUUCCUCAGUGGUCCCAAUUUAUCAUUCUUGUUUCCUGAUGUUCUCUUAUUAUACCAUGUACUUGAAGAGUUACUCAUGUUAAGUCAGCUACUGUUGAGCCUGUGGACUUUUGCCUCUGGUAUUUCCUCUGCCUUCUUCAUCAGGCAAGCUUCUAUUCACUCUCCAAGAUCCAGAUCAUGCCUCUUCCACAGUGAAGGCCUCCUUGAUUUCACCCAGGAAAAUGUGACCCCAUUAACUCAAUGCCUCAGGCAAACAGUACUCUCUAUUUAGAGGUCACAGCAGCCUCACACAGAUUA